rnacentral:lncRNA from 1 species
GCUAAAAGCGCAAUUUACCCCUCCGCUCAAAAACACGCGUAUCCUAGGCCGGGUCGGGUCGGCCUCCCAAAACGACGCCGGUUUGGCACCUGGGGAGGCCAAGUGAAACGGCGCCGUUUCACUAGGCUCUUUAAGCCAAAAACUUAAAAAAAAAUUUCAUUUUCUCAUUCUUUUUAAAAAAAAAAACAAAAAUCCUUUUAAAAAGGCUCUCCCCUCC